rnacentral:rRNA from 1 species
GGGGUAACGGCCCACCAAACUCANGNGUAGGGGUUCUGAGAGGAAGGUCCCCCACAUUGGAACUGAGACACGGUCCAAACUCCUACGGGAGGCAGCAUG